UGGGGAAUAUUGCACAAUGGGCGAAAGCCUGAUGCAGCGACGCCGCGUGAGGGAUGACGGCCUUCGGGUUGUAAACCUCUUUCAGUAGGGACGAAGCGCAAGUGACGGUACCUGCAGAAGAAGCACCGGCUAACUACGUGCCAGCAGCCGCGGUAAUACGUAGGGUGCGAGCGUUGUCCGGAAUUACUGGGCGUAAAGAGCUCGUAGGCGGUUUGUCACUUCGUCUGUGAAAUCCUAGGGCUUAACCCUGGACGUGCAGGCGAUACGGGCUGACUUGAGUACUACAGGGGAGACUGGAAUUUCUGGUGUAGCGGUGGAAUGCACAGAUAUCAGGAAGAACACCGAUGGCGAAGGCAGGUCUCUGGGUAGUAACUGACGCUGAGGAGCGAAAGCAUGGGUAGCGAACAGG
rnacentral:rRNA from 1 species